rnacentral:rRNA from 1 species
AUUGAACGCUGGCGGCAGGCCUAACACAUGCAAGUCGAGCGAGCGGCGGACGGGUGAGUAAUGUCUGGGGAACUGCCCGAUGGAGGGGGAUAACUACUGGAAACGGUGGCUAAUACCGCAUACCGUCGGAUGAGCCCAUAUGGGAUUAGCUAGUAGGUGGGGUAAUGGCUUACCUAGGCGACGAUCCCUAGCUGGUCUGAGAGGAUGACCAGCCCACCUGGAAACGAGACCCGGUCCAAGAUCCCACGUGAGGGAGGAGGGGGGAAUAUUGGACAAUGGGCGCCAGCCUGAUGCAGGCCUGCCGGGGGGUUUAAGAAGGGCUUCGGGUUGUAAAAGAAUUUUAGCGGGGAAGCGGUACCCGAAGAAGAAGCACCGGCUAACUCCGUGCCCACCGCCGCGGUAAUAC